rnacentral:misc_RNA from 1 species
AAGUCGUAACAAGGUUUCCGUAGGUGAACCUGCGGAAGGAUCAUUAUUGAAUAUUCUUGAUGGGUUGUAGCUGGCUCUUCGGGGCAUGUGCACGCUUGUCUUGACUUUAUUCAUCCACCUGUGCACUUUUUGUAGUCUUGGAGGUUGAGAGCGGUCAACUAUCGGAUAGCUGUUAUGGCCUUUCCGGAUGUGAGGAAUUGCUGAGUGCAAAAGCAUACAGCUCUUCUCAAAACGACUUGCAAUACCUCUCCUUCAAGUACUAUGUAUUCAUAUACCACAUAGUAUGUUGUAGAAUGUGAUCAAUGGGCUUAUGUGCCUAUAAUAAUCAUAUACAACUUUCAGCAACGGAUCUCUUGGCUCUC